rnacentral:rRNA from 1 species
UACGUAUGUCCCGAGCGUUAUCCGGAUUUAUUGGGCGUAAAGCGAGCGCAGACGGUUUAUUAAGUCUGAUGUGAAAGCCCGGAGCUCAACUCCGGAAUGGCAUUGGAAACUGGUUAACUUGAGUGCAGUAGAGGUAAGUGGAACUCCAUGUGUAGCGGUGGAAUGCGUAGAUAUAUGGAAGAACACCAGUGGCGAAGGCGGCUUACUGGACUGCAACUGACGUUGAGGCUCGAAAGCGUGGGGAGCAAACA